UACGGAGGGGGCUAGCGUUGUUCGGAAUUACUGGGCGUAAAGCGCGCGUAGGCGGACCUGCAAGUCGGGGGUGAAAGCCCGAGGCUCAACCUCGGAACUGCCUUCGAUACUGCGGGUCUCGAGUCCGGGAGAGGUGAGUGGAAUUCCUAGUGUAGAGGUGAAAUUCGUAGAUAUUAGGAAGAACACCAGUGGCGAAGGCGGCUCGCUGGGACGGUACUGACGCUGAGGUGACGAAAGCGUGGGGAGCAAACAGG
rnacentral:rRNA from 1 species